rnacentral:lncRNA from 1 species
CCACCUGUCCAAGUUGCUUCUUUAAAUCACUAUGCCCCUCAUCCUGAGAUGGAAAUGCAUAAUUCAGCACCUAAUCCAUUUUCCCAACAGAUUGUACCAUCACAAAUGUAUUCUCAGAACCAGUAUCCUCAAACUCAAUUUCCUCAACCUAGUUUGCCAACAGUAUCAUCUUCUCCAAAUCUCAGCCAGUCUUUCAUGGUGGCUCCAAUGAUGUCACAGAACACAACAACAUCUACUGUUCCUCCAUCGGCGAUUCCACAAUCAAUUGUACCAUCACAAAUGUAUUCGCAGAACCAGUAUCCUCAAACUCAAUUUCCUCAACCUGGUUUGCCAACAGUAUCAUCUUCUCCAAAUCUCAGCCAGUCUUUCAUGGUGGCUCCAAUGAUGUCACAGAACACAACAUCUACUGUUCCUUCAUCGGCGAUUCCACAAUCAAAACAGAAGUUUGAGACCAAGUCAUCUGUCUGGGCU